rnacentral:lncRNA from 1 species
UAAUAAUAAUAAUGUUUUAUUAUUACAUUUUGCGUACCUCAAACGGAAGGGACACGUGUCCAAAAUUCAUUCGAUAUGUCCCUAUUAAAUUUGCUCCAAUCCAUUCCCCCAACCCCAACUCUUCCUCUUUUUACUUCCCCUAUGGCUCGUCACUCCUUGCUCUUAGCCCUCCUCCUCUUCGCCGCCGUGGCCACCGCCGCGAUGGCGGUGGCCGCGUCCGACGCCGACGACAUCCUGAUCCGUCAGGUGGUGCCAGAUGUUGGCGAAGCCGAAGAGGAGGACAACCUGCUGAACGCCGAGCACCACUUCGCGAGCUUCAAGGCCAAGUUCGCCAAGACCUACGCCACCAAGGAGGAGCACGAUCAUCGCUUCGGCGUCUUCAAGUCCAACCUCCGCAGAGCCAGGCUGCACGCCAAGCUCGACCCCUCCGCCGUCCACGGCGUCACCAAAUUCUCCGAUCUAACUCCGGCCGAGUUCCGCCGCCAGUUCCUCGGC